rnacentral:rRNA from 1 species
GAUGAACGCUGGCGGCGUGCCUAAUACAUGCAAGUCGAGCGAACGGACCAGAAGCUUUCUUCUCUGAUGUUAUCGGCGGACGGGUGAUUAACACGUGGAUAACCUACCUAUAAGACUGGGAUAACUUCGGGAAACCGGAUCUAAUACCGGAUAAUAUUUUGAACCUCAUUGUUCACAAGUUAAAGAAGGUCUUGCUGUCACUUAUAGAUUGCUCCGGGCUGCAUUAGUUAGUUGGGAAGGUAACUGCUUACCAAAGCAACGAUGCAUAGCCGACCUGAGAGGGUGAUCGGCCACACUGGAACUGAGGAACGGUCCAGACACCUACGGGAGGCAGCAGUAGGGAAUCUUCCGCGAUGGGCGAAAGCCUGACGGAGCAACGCCGCGUGAGUGAUGAAGGUCUUCGGAUCGUAGAACUCUGUUAUUAGGGGAGAACAUAUGUGUAAGUAACUGUGCAGAUAUUGACGGUACCUAAUCAGUAAGCCACGGCUAACUACGUG